CUAAGUUCCUCCCUGACUAGAUACACUAAAACUGGAAUGAUACAAAGAAUAUGAGUAUGGACCCUGUCCAUGGUCUACUUGUGAAUUUAUGAAGUUUCCCAUGUUCUC
rnacentral:snRNA from 1 species